rnacentral:rRNA from 1 species
UACGUAGGGGGCUAGCGUUGUCCGGAAUUACUGGGCGUAAAGGGCGCGUAGGCGGGAUGGCAAGUCGGUCGUGAAAUCCUUCGGCUCAACCGAAGAACGUCGAUCGAUACUGCUGUUCUUGAGGGUUGCAGAGGAGACUGGAAUUCCCGGUGUAGCGGUGAAAUGUGUAGAGAUCGGGAGGAACACCGGUGGCGAAGGCGGGUCUCUGGGCCUUACCUGACGCUGAGGAGCGAAAGCGUGGGGAGCGAACAGG